rnacentral:lncRNA from 1 species
GCGGGGCUCCGCCAUCCCGCCGCCCUGGCACGUGGAUAAGCCAUGCGCAACUGGUGCUGGCCCGGCAUAACGCUGGGCGGUAUGCAGGGUCCCGGGCCCAACUCCCAGCGCGGCCCCCCGUCCUGGAUAGCGCAGCUCUCCCCGUAGCAGUCCGUCAUAACUCCGAGGGGAAUACAGGUGCGGGGCACCCUGCCAGUGGGCCCCAGAAUCAGGUUGCUGCACACCAAUACCGGCACUUGCCCUUCUCCUGGGCUCAUGCAGAGUGAAGGACUUGGUGCUCACAGUCUGCCUGAAGAAAUGGUGCGGCCUUGCUCAAGAACAAGCCCUUCUCGGAAGAAAAAACAGCUGCCCAACAAUACGGGCUCCUCAAGCACACUUCAGACCCAUCCUGUACAUCCACAUGCAAGAUUCACCAGGUUCCCCAGUGAAAUACCUCUAGAGCAGAGCAGUGUGGGACAGGAAGCGAAGGAGAACCUCAUAGUUGUUGGCACUGCAAGUGUCCCCACUGAGAGAGGCAAUUCUUCUGGCAGCCUGUUCUUGGAGUAUGUUGAGAGCCACCAACCGACUGGUGAAUGCCAGCUUCACUAG